rnacentral:rRNA from 1 species
AACGAACGCUGGCAGCAGGCUUAACACAUGCAAGUCGAGCGCCUCGCAAGAGGAGCGGCAGACGGGUGAGUAACGCGUGGGAACAUACCCAUCUCUGCGGAACAACUCCGGGAAACUGGAGCUAAUACCGCAUACGCCCUUUGGGGGAAAGAUUUAUCGGAGAUGGAUUGGCCCGCGUUGGAUUAGCUAGUUGGUGGGGUAAAGGCCUACCAAGGCGACGAUCCAUAGCUGGUCUGAGAGGAUGAUCAGCCACAUUGGGACUGAGACACGGCCCAAACUCUUACGGGAGGCAGCAGUGGGGAAUAUUGGACAAUGGGCGCAAGCCUGAUCCAGCCAUGCCGCGUGAGUGAUGAAGGCCUUAGGGUUGUAAAGCUCUUUCACCGGAGAAGAUAAUGACGGUAUCCGGAGAAGAAGCCCCGGCUAACUUCGUGCCAGCCGCCGCCGUAACAC